rnacentral:rRNA from 1 species
GACGAACGCUGGCGGCGUGCCUAAUACAUGCAAGUUGAGCGCUGAAGGUUGGUACUUGUACCGACUGGAUGAGCAGCGAACGGGUGAGUAACGCGUGUGGAAUCUGCCUUUGAGCGGGGGACAACAUUUGGAAACGAAUGCUAAUACCGCAUAAAAACUUUAAACACAAGUUUUAAGUUUGAAAGAUGCCAUUGCAUCACUCAAAGAUGAUCCCGCGUUGUAUUAGCUAGUUGGUGAGGUAAAGGCUCACCAAGGCGAUGAUACAUAGCCGACAGGAGAGGGUGAGCGGCCAGCCUGGGAGGGAGACACGGCCCAAAAUGCUACGGGAGGCAGCAGUAGGGAAUCUUCGGCAAUGGACGAAAGUCUGACCGAGCAACGCCGCGUGAGUGAAGAAUGUUUUCGGAUCGUAAAACUCUGUUGGUAGAGAAGAACGUUGGUGAGAGUGGAAAGCUCAGCAAGUGACGGUAACUACCCAGAAAGGGACGGCUAACUACGUG